UAGGUCGAAGGUUUUGUGAUUGGGUGAGU
rnacentral:piRNA from 1 species